rnacentral:rRNA from 1 species
GACGAACGCUGGCGGCGUGCUUAACACAUGCAAGUCGAACGGAAAGGCCCUGCUUUUGUGGGGUGCUCGAGUGGCGAACGGGUGAGUAACACGUGAGUAACCUGCCCUUGACUUUGGGAUAACUUCAGGAAACUGGGGCUAAUACCGGAUAGGAGCUCCUGCUGCAUGGUGGGGGUUGGAAAGUUUCGGCGGUUGGGGAUGGACUCGCGGCUUAUCAGCUUGUUGGUGGGGUAGUGGCUUACCAAGGCUUUGACGGGUAGCCGGCCUGAGAGGGUGACCGGCCACAUUGGGACUGAGAGACGGACCAGACUGCUACGGGAGGCAGCAGGGGGGAAUAUUGCACAAUGGGCGGAAGCCUGAUGCAGCAACGCAGCGUGCGGGAUGAAGGACUUCGGGUUGUAAACAGAUUUCGCCUGUGACGAAGCGUGAGUGAAGGUAAUGGGUAAAGAAGCACCGGCUAACUACGUG